UACGUAGGGUGCAAGCGUUGUCCGGAUUUAUUGGGCGUAAAGAGCUCGUAGGCGGCUUGUCGCGUCGACCGUGAAAACUUGGGGCUCAACCCCAAGCCUGCGGUCGAUACGGGCAGGCUAGAGUUCGGUAGGGGAGACUGGAAUUCCUGGUGUAGCGGUGAAAUGCGCAGAUAUCAGGAGGAACACCGAUGGCGAAGGCAGGUCUCUGGGCCGAUACUGACGCUGAGGAGCGAAAGCGUGGGGAGCGAACAGG
rnacentral:rRNA from 1 species